AGAAAGCUACAAUUCAUUGGCCCAAGUUUCAAGUUCAAAGAAUUCAAGUUGAAGGAGCAAAUUCAAAGAAAAAUUCAAAAGAAUAGUCCUCGAGUCGACUCCUGAAAGUUUCGAGUCGACUCUGGCACUCUAGAGUUUCAAGGAACAGUGCUCGAGUCAACUCCGGGACUCUACGAGUCGACUCCGACUGAGAACAAACAAAAAGACAGAGAGUUGAUUUUCUGCGCUACAGUGAUCUCGAGUCGACUCCCAACUUCAGGAGUCGACUCCCAGCUACAGUGCCGGCAGACUACUAUUCACAGAUCAACUCCUGUUUCAGCCGAGUCGACUCCUACUUCAGCCGAGUCGACUCGAGUACGCUGGGAGGCAUAACGGCUAGUUUUUUCUUGAUUCCAACGGCUCUAUUUUUGUCUCUAACGGCUAGAUUUUUGUUGGGACUCCCUCUAAAGCUAUAAAAUCAAGAGGAGAGCUAGGGGAGAAGGUAUGGAAGUGGGAGAAAACAUUUAGGGAAGAGAUUUCAAAG
rnacentral:lncRNA from 1 species